rnacentral:rRNA from 1 species
AUUCGCCUUCAUGAAGCUGGAAUUGCAGUAAUGGCAGGUCAGCAUACUGCCGUGAAUACGUCCCCGGGCCUUGUACACACCGCCCGUCACACCAUGAGAGUUGGGAAUACCCGAAGCCUGUGAGCUAACUAAAAGAGGCAGCAGUCGAAGGUAGAAUCAAUGAUUGGGGUGAAGUCGUAACAAGGUAUC